rnacentral:rRNA from 1 species
GACGAACGCUGGCGGCGUGCUUAACACAUGCAAGUCGAGCGGAAAGGCCCUGCUUGCCGGGUACUCGAGUGGCGAACGGGUGAGUAAUACGUGGGUGAUCUGCCCUGCACUUCGGGAUAAGCCUGGGAAACUGGGUCUAAUACCGGAUAGGAGCCAUUUUUAGUGUGAUGGUUGGAAAGUUUUUUCGGUGUAGGAUGAGCUCGCGGCCUAUCAGCUUGUUGGUGGGGUAAUGGCCUACCAAGGCGGCGACGGGUAGCCGGCCUGAGAGGGUGGACGGCCACAUUGGGACUGAGAUACGGCCCAGACUCCUACGGGAGGCAGCAGUGGGGAAUAUUGCACAAUGGGCGCAAGCCUGAUGCAGCGACGCCGCGUGGGGGAUGACGGCCUUCGGGUUGUAAACUCCUUUCGCUAGGGACGAAGCUUUUGUGACGGUACCUAGAUAAGAAGCACCGGCUAACUACGUG